GAUCAUGGCUCAGGAUGAACGCUAGCUACAGGCUUAACACAUGCAAGUCGAAGGGGAAACGACAUCGAAAGCUUGCUUUUGAUGGGCGUCGACCGGCGCACGGGUGAGUAACGCGUAUCCCAACCUGCCCACCACUGGGGAUAACCUUGCGAAAGUAAGACUAAUACCCAAUGAUAUCUCUAGAAGACAUCUGAAAGGGAUUAAAGAUUUAUCGGUGAUGGAUGGGGAUGCGUCUGAUUAGCUUGUUGGCGGGGUAACGGCCCACCAAGGCGACGAUCAGUAGGGGUUCUGAGAGGAAGGUCCCCCACAUUGGAACUGAGACACGGUCCAAACUCCUACGGGAGGCAGCAGUGAGGAAUAUUGGUCAAUGGGCGAGAGCCUGAACCAGCCAAGUAGCGUGCAGGAUGACGGCCCUAUGGGUUGUAAACUGCUUUUAUAAGGGAAUAAAGUGAGAGUCGUGACUCUUUUUGCAUGUACCUUAUGAAUAAGGACCGGCUAAUUCCGUG
rnacentral:rRNA from 1 species